rnacentral:rRNA from 1 species
GUAGUCAUAUGCUUGUCUCAGAGAUUAAGCCAUGCAUGUCUAAGUAUAAGCAAUCAUACUGUGAAACUGCGAAUGGCUCAUUAAAUCAGUUAUCGUUUAUUUGAUAGUACCUUUACCUGGAUAACCGUGGUAAUUCUAGAGCUAAUACAUGCUAAAAAUCCCGACUUCGGAAGGGAUGUAUUUAUUAGAUAAAAAACCAAUGCCCUCCGGGGCUCCUUGGUGAUUCAUAAUAACUCAACGAAUCGCAUGGCCUUGCGCCGGCGAUGGUUCAUUCAAAUUUCUGCCCUAUCAACUUUCGAUGGUAGGAUUGUGGCCUACCAUGGUCUCAACGGGUAACGGGGAAUUAGGGUUCUAUUCCGGAGGGGGAGCCUGAGAAACGGCUACCACAUCCAAGGAAGGCAGCAGGCGCGCAAAUUACCCAAUCCCAAUACGGGGAGGUAGUGACAAUAAAUACUGAUACAGGGCUCUUUUGGGUCUUGUAAUUGGAAUGAGUACAAUCUAAAUCCCUUAACGAGGAACAAUUGGAGGGCAAGUCUGGUGCCAGCAGCCGCGGUAAUUCCAGCUCCAAUAGCGUAUAUUAAAGUUGUUGCCGUUAAAAAGCUCGUAGUUGAAACUUGGGCCUGGCUGGCCGGUCCGCCUCACCGCGUGCACUGGUCCGGCCGGGCCUUUCCUUCUGGGGAGCCGCAUGCCCUUCAUUGGGUGUGCCGGGGAACCAGGACUUUUACUUUGAAAAAAUUAGAGUGUUCAAAGCAGGCCUAUGCUCGAAUACAUUAGCAUGGAAUAAUAGAAUAGGACGUGUGGUUCUAUUUUGUUGGUUUCUAGGACCGCCGUAAUGAUUAAUAGGGAUAGUUGGGUAU